rnacentral:lncRNA from 1 species
GAUUAACUGAAUUGGCGGCAUGUUGGUGAACCAUCUGGAAGGCCAGAAACAAUCUUAUCUUUCGCGACAUACAGAUCGAUCCUGUAUUAGCGGUGCGAAGCCUCAAGCAGCUUGAUUCGUGGAACGAUCUACUAUGAUUUUUUAUUUUUUAUUUUUUAUUUUUUUCGAUUCGAUGUUUUUUUCGAGGCUCUGGUUGUCUCACCACUGUCGCUUAAUUCAUAUUUUCAAUGAAUGAAGCAGGUAGCGUGUUACCUAUUCUCAAAAAAAAAAAAAAAAAAAAAAAAAUAU